rnacentral:rRNA from 1 species
CAGUAGCCGCGGGAAUACGAAGGGGGCUAGCGUUGCUCGGAAUGACUGGGCGUAAAGCGCACGUAGGCGGAUUGUUAAGUCAGGGGUGAAAUGCCAAGGCUCAACCUUGGAACUGCCUUUGAUACUGGCAAUCUCGAGUCCGGGAGAGGUGAGUGGAACUGCGAGUGUAGAGGUGAAAUUCGUAGAUAUUCGCAAGAACACCAGUGGCGAAGGCGGCUCACUGGCCCAGUACUGACGCUGAGGUGCGAAAGCGUGGGGAGCAAACAGGAUUAGAUACCCCUGUAGUCCCUGUCUCUUAUAC